rnacentral:lncRNA from 1 species
UUUCAGAAGAGAACUUUUAGUUCGUAGAUACACUUGAUGAAAUUUAAGUUUAGAAAAUAUAUUGGGCCAGAAUUUUAAUGUGAAGGUAUGAAUUUAAAUGUUAUAAAAAAUUAAAUAACUUUUAUUUUAAAUGACUCAGAAUUAACUGUAGUUAUGUAUAACUAAUAUAAUACUUAAUAUUAAAUAAAACAUAAUAAAUAAUUUAGAUGUUUUCCUUUUUAAGGUACUCUUUCAAGGCUUUAAUAGGAAAGAUUAUGGAGCAUUUGAAUAAGGGAAAGAAAGCCAAUGAGGCUGGGUUAUGAGAGGCAAACUAGAAAGGUAGACAGAGACCCGAUCACGGUUGGUGUCCAAGGCUCUCUGAAACGUUUUUAUGUUAUUCUCUAGGAGGCAUGAUCAUCUUCUGAUGUCUGACAUUUAAUAUCUCUGUAAUAUUAUGCAAGUUAAUUAGCCUACAUCAACACAACAGUGUUUCCAUCUGUACUAUGCAAAUAAUAACUGCUUGCUUUGAAAAUAAUAGUAACUGCUUCCUUGGGUUGUUGGAAGAAUAAAAGAGAUCAUUUAUAUUACCUAAGUAAAAUGCUUAGUACAUAUCACUCAACAAAUGUAAACUCUUGAUAGGAUCAGUGUUUUGCAGGGUGACCCAUGCAGACAGGAGAAAUUAGAGGGCAUUAAAAGACAGAUUCACAAGAGAAAGCAACACUUAAUUAUGUUGGUUGGCAUGGAAAUUCACAAGGAAAUGAGACUCGAGGUGGUUAGAAUUUGGGGCUUAUAUACUGUAUUAGUCCAUUCUCAUGCUGCUAAUAAAGACAUACCUGAGGCUGGGUAAUUAAAAAAAAAAAAGAAAAAAAGAAAAAAAAAAGGAAAUUAGAGGGCAUUAGUAAUCACACAGAUAAAGGAAGGUGUCUCUAUGAAGAUUAAACAUGUAUUGUAAUUACUGGAGAAUAUUUGCUUGCCUAAAAUAUUCUCUCCCUAGCCAGAUUCCUUCACCGUUUCUGACUAAACAUAGAAUCACUAAAAAUAGAACGACACAACCACAAUAUCAUCUUCUCAGGCAAUUCCAGCCUACUUUCUCAGCAAAAGCAGUUUCUUCUCUUUCUGGCUGCAUUCCUUGCAGGCAAUCCGAGCUGCUUGCAAGAAAACAAAGUUCCUUGCUCAUCUUUGCAGUCCUGAAACCUAUUGCUGAGGCAAUGCUUUGCCCCAGUCCUGACG